AGCCUCCACUUCCAAUCAAUGGCUCACCAAUGCCAGAAUGGCUCAUUACACUCUCUCCACUUAAAUCCUCCUAGGAUGACCUUUCAGACCCCAACUGCCCUGAGCCCAGCUACCCGCUGCCUGGUCCAGACCCCAAUAGGCCACUACAUGACUCAUCGGACAUUUUGGCCCACAUCCAUGGGAUCAGACCAGAUCUUCAGGAUACUCCCUUGAUAGAUGAUGAGGUUCACCUAUGACAACAGCUUCAUCCAAAAAGGACACAGAUACCUUUUCAGGUUGGACUGAGACACGCCCCACCAAGCAUGAUAUUUCAUCCAUGGUGAUAAAGACUCUCUUAGAGGACAUACUGGCAAGGCGUGGGUUUCCCCAGUGGACCAGCUUCUGUGUCCCAGGCAGAGAUCAUCACUGAAUUCAAUUGCUAGACCAUCUCAAGGUGCCCAAUGGACUCAUAAACAUGUUUGGCCUAAACUUCAUGUCCUCUGUGAAACAGGGGUGAUAGAGCCUCAUUACAAAAGCCCUAAUUGCAAGCCCGUUUGCAGUUGAAGACAACCCCGACCAGCAGGAGGAAACUCAGCCUCAGGAUUCCCUCCUGUCUACCACUGAUGGGGCCCUACCCACACUCCAGGGACACCACGAGGACUG